GAAAAUUAUCCAGCAUGGAUCCUUAAAUUCAUUUCAUUCUUUCAGAAUGUUUACAGGGAAGACAGGAAUAUUAUGGGAGCAUAAGUAAACCAAACAUUCCAGAAGCAAAAAUUACCACCUCAGCCAGUAGUCCAAGAAGUGAGGAGAAACAGAAGCCUUAGAGAGCUGGUAUCACUGAACAGAUGGAGGUUGAAUUCACGCAGUGAAAUCCCUGCAGAGCACACAGCUUGUUCCUUGCUUCUGAGAAAAAUGGCCACAUGGUUUUGGACAAGAUCAUUUGUCUGCUUCCAUGACUUCCACCAGGUAGCACAAGGCAAGGAAAGUAACGGCCAAAGAAAAUUGUAAUCUGAAUGCAUUACUUGUAAGAGGGAACUGAACUACUCUGCUGUAGAAUUGUAUAGUCUAGAGAAAGAAAGGGGAAUGGGAGAAAAAGAGUGAAGAAAAGAAAGGAAGUCAAUAUUUUGAGCUCACAAGUAA
rnacentral:lncRNA from 1 species